AAGCAGAGUUUCUUGUACGAUCACCGAAGUUAAGCAACGUUGAACUUCGUCAGUACCUAGAUGGGUAACUGCCUGGGAAUACCAAGUGCUGUAAG